rnacentral:rRNA from 1 species
AGUCACUGACGUUAGAUACCCGUGUAGUCCAGGGUGUAAACGCUGCAGACUUGGUGUUGGAAAUCCUUCGAGGGUAUUCAGUGCCGGAGAGAAGUUGUUAAGUCUGCUACUUGGGGAGUACGUCCGCAAGGAUGAAACUUAAAGGAAUUGGCGGGGGGAGCACCGCAACGGGAGGAGCGUGCGGUUUAAUUGGAUUCAACACCGGAAAACUCACCAGGGGAGACUGUUACAUGAAACCCAGACUGAUGAUCUUGGUUGAUUUUCAG